AGCAUGUGGUUUAAUUCGAUGCAACGCGAAGAACCUUACCAGGUCUUUGACAUCCCACGAAUUCAUCUGAAAGGAUGGAGUGCCUUCGGGAGCGUGGAGACAGGUGGUGCAUGGUUGUCGUCAGCUCGUGUCGUGAGAUGUUGGGUUAAGUCCCGCAACGAGCGCAACCCUUGCUAUUAGUUGCUAACAGGCAGAGCUGAGCACUCUAAUGGGACUGCCGGUGUUAAACCGGAGGAAGGUGGGAUGACGUCAAGUCCUCAUGGCCUUUAUGCCCAGGGCUACACGCGUGCUACAAUGGGUGGUACAAAGAGAUGCAAUCUCGCAAGAGCAAGCAAACCUCAAAAAGCCAUCCUCAGUUCGGAUUGGAGUCUGCAACUCGACUCCAUGAAGUCGGAAUCGCUAGUAAUCGCGGAUCAGCACGCCGCGGUGAAUACGUUCCCGGGCCUU
rnacentral:rRNA from 1 species